rnacentral:rRNA from 1 species
GACGAACGCUGGCGGUGUGCUUAAUACAUGCAAGUCGAACGUGAAGCUACCUUCGGGUAGUGGAAAGUGGCGGACGGGUGAGUAACACGUAGGUAAUCUGCCUUAAGGUGGGGGACAACGUUGGGAAACUGACGCUAAUACCCCAUAUGUGGCGAGUUGAAAUACUUGUCAUGAAAGUUCCGGCGCCUUAAGAUGAGCCUGCGGCUGAUUAGUUAGUUGGUGAGGUAAUGGCUUACCAAGACUAUGAUCAGUAGCUGGUCUGAGAGGAUGAUCAGCCACAAUGGGACUGAGACACGGCCCAUACUCCUACGGGAGGCAGCAGUAGGGAAUUUUGCGCAAUGGGCGAAAGCCUGACGCAGCAACACCGCGUGAGUGAUGAAGCAUCUUGGUGUGUAAAACUCUGUCAGAGGGGACGAAUUUUGACGGUACCCUCAAAGGAAGCAUCGGCUAACUACGUGCCAGCAGCCGCGGUAAGACGUAGGAUGCAAGCGUUGUCCGGAAUUAUUGGGCGUAAAGAGUUCGUAGGCGGCAUGUAAAGUCUGGUGUUAAAGCCCGGAGCUCAACUCCGGUUCGGCAUUGGAUACUUACAAGCUAGAAUGCAGAAGAGGCAAAGGGAAUUCCUAGUGUAGCGGUGAAAUGCGUAGAUAUUAGGAGGAACACCGGUGGCGUAAGCGCUUUGCUGGUCUGUUAUUGACGCUGAGGAACGAAAGCCAGGGGAGCAAAUGGGAUUAGAUACCCCAGUAGUCCUGGCCGUAAACGAUGGUUACUAGGUGUUGUAGGUAUCGACCCCUGCAGUGCUGCAGCU